rnacentral:rRNA from 1 species
UACAGAGGUCUCAAGCGUUUGUUCGGAUUCAUUGGGCGUAAAGGGCGCGUAGGUGGCUGGAGAAGUCAACGGUGAAAGCUUGGGGCUCAACCCCGAGUCGGCCGUCGAUACUCUUCGGCUUGAGCACUGUAGAGGCAGGUGGAAUUCCGGGUGUAGCGGUGGAAUGCGUAGAGAUCCGGAAGAACACCGGUGGCGAAGGCGGCCUGCUGGGCAGUAGCUGACACUGAGGCGCGACAGCGUGGGGAGCAAACAGG